rnacentral:rRNA from 1 species
UGCGUAGGUGGUGAGGUAAGUCGGAUGUGAAAUCUCCGAGCUCAACUCGGAAACUGCAUUGGAAACUACCUUGCUAGAGGGUUGGAGGGGGGACUGGAAUACUUGGUGUAGCAGUGAAAUGCGUAGAUAUCAAGUGGAACACCAGUGGCGAAGGCGAGUCCCUGGACAACUCCUGACACUGAUGCACGAAAGGCUAGGGGAGCAAACA